GAUAGGCCUACAAAGGCCUAUGAAGCGUUAACUAUUUUACUUCCACAAGCAUUAACCAUUUUAUUUCCACAGGACCGAGGUGAGGCAGAGUGGUCUGUAAGCUACCCAAAACCUCCUCCUUGGGAGAUGUGUGUGGCAUUUGCCUUCCUCCAGCCAUCAGGGACCUUCCGAAUCCCCACAACCUCACAAAGAUGACAGUGGCCUCAUAAGGCCAUUGGCCAGCUUCUGCAACACCCUUGGGAUCAACCUGUAGGCUCGUAUCUGCCCAGCUGAGCUUUCCUGCUGGUCUGGGUUAAGUCACACCAAGCAUGUUUGUAACCGCUUGUGGUAACGCUUUCUAGACAGCUCCAUCCAUUGUCCUGAACAACAUGAGGACCCUGCAGGCCAUGAAGACAAAAGUCAGAGACCAGCUGCACCAGGUGGUGCCCAGCCCCCAGCUGAAGCAUGUCCUGUCACUGUGGCAGGUUGUGGCGGCUCGCAGGCAUGUUGGUACAGAUGAACCAGGAUCCCUUCUGUCUGGUACCCAAGCAAUACCAGGGGAAGCUUGAUGUGGUGAAGGCAAAAGCCUUGGCUGCCACGCUGUCCAACAUCAACCUGGAUCUCUUCCUCAUUGAGCUCCACGAGAUGAGUGGCACUGGCCGGCUUUGCACUGCAGUGGGGGUUCAAGGAGAACUUUGUGUUGUUUCUGGAAGCCAGCCCAGUCAAUGCUGUCUCCAUUGCUAGCCUGAUGGAUGCACUGAGCCCUGAUCUUCUCCUUGAGGACAUCCUUUCUGGAGGAGGGCUGCGAAGACCUGCCAGCUGGACAUCUCUGCCUGUGGCCAGCAGAGACCAGUUGUCAUUAGCACCCCCUCAUAAUGACCCCACUGGUGGCUUCUCCCCACAGGGCGUGGAGGAAGGGGCCUUGAGACACACUCUCCUCCUUAAUCUUGGCUCUGGGGCCAAUAAAUGAUCUGUGCAUGGGCUCUUGGAGCA
rnacentral:lncRNA from 1 species